UAGCUAGUUGGUGAGGUAACGGCUUACCAAGGCGACGAUCUGUAGCGGGUCUGAGAGGAUGAUCCGCCACACUGGAACUGAGACACGGUCCAGACUCCUACGGGAGGCAGCAGUGGGGAAUUUUGGACAAUGGGGGCAACCCUGAUCCAGCCAUGCCGCAUGAGUGAAGAAGGCCUUCGGGUUGUAAAGCUCUUUCGGCCGGGAAGAAAUCGCAUGGGCCAAUACCCUGUGUGGAUGACGGUACCGGAAUAAGAAGCACCGGCUAACUACGUGCCAGCAGCCGCGGUAAUACGUAGGGUGCGAGCGUUAAUCGGAAUUACUGGGCGUAAAGCGUGCGCAGGCGGUUUUGUAAGACAGGCGUGAAAUCCCCGGGCUCAACCUGGGAACUGCGUUUGUGACUGCAAGGCUAGAGUACGGCAGAGGGGGGUGGAAUUCCACGUGUAGCAGUGAAAUGCGUAGAGAUGUGGAGGAACACCAAUGGCGAAGGCAGCCCCCUGGGUCGAUACUGACGCUCAUGCACGAAAGCGUGGGUAGCAAACAGGAUUAGAUACCCUGGUAGUCCACGCCCUAAACUAUGUCAACUAGGUGUUGGGUGGGUAAAACCAUUUAGUACCGUAGCUAACGCGUGAAGUUGACCGCCUGGGGAGUACGGCCGCAAGGUUAAAACUCAAAGGAAUUGACGGGGACCCGCACAAGCGGUGGAUGAUGUGGAUUAAUUCGAUGCAACGCGAAAAACCUUACCUACCCUUGACAUGCCAGGAACUUGCCAGAGAUGGCUUGGUGCCCGAAAGGGAGCCUGGACACAGGUGCUGCAUGGCUGUCGUCAGCUCGUGUCGUGAGAUGUUGGGUUAAGUCCCGCAACGAGCGCAACCCUUGUCGUUAAUUGCCAUCAUUUAGUUGGGCACUUUAGCGAGACUGCCGGUGACAAACCGGAGGAAGGUGGGGAUGACGUCAAGUCCUCAUGGCCCUUAUGGGUAGGGCUUCACACGUCAUACAAUGGUCGGUACAAAGGGUCGCCAAGCCGCGAGGUGGAGCCAAUCCCAGAAAGCCGAUCGUAGUCCGGAUUGCAGGCUGCAACUCGCCUGCAUGAAGUCGGAAUCGCUAGUAAUCGUGGAUCAGCAUGUCACGGUGAAUACGUUCCCGGGUCUUGUACACACCGCCCGUCACACCAUGGGAGCGGGUUCCGCCAGAAGUAGGUAGCCUAACCGCAAGGAGGGCGCUUACCACGGCGGGGUUCGUGACUGGGGUGAAGUCGGAACAAGGUAGCCGUAGGGGAACCUGCAGCUG
rnacentral:rRNA from 1 species